rnacentral:lncRNA from 1 species
AUGGCGGAGAAAGACAGGGAGGGGAAAAGGGGAGAUAAAACCGGGAAGUGGAGACCGCGUCAGGCGGAGCCAGGAGUGAGUGUUUCCUCGCGCACGUCUCUGCGUAACUCAUGGCCCUGCUAUUUGCUGAGCGCCUGCGUGGGGCCAGACUCUGUGCUCCCCCACCCCCCCCCCCACCCCGGUCUCCUGUGUUCACCCCACAGCCUGGGAUGUUCUCUCCGCUCCCCCGACCCAAGGAUGGGCCAAGGGCUUCCUCCCCCUGAGAACAAAGCCCUCCUCUCUCUCCAGGGUAUUGCUGUGGAUCUCGUCUGUCUCGUUUAAAAGAAAAUUCCAUCUCCACUUAGCCUGCACACACUGAAAUGUCACCUCCUCCGGGAAGGCCAUCCUGACCUCUCUCUGCCCAAACCACACUCUGCUCUGCUCUUUGCCGGCCCCUCCACCUGGCCGUCGAUCGGCGGUGGCACAUGAAUGUUGCCGACAACCGGGCCGAUGCGUUUGGGAGUGGACCCUCCCCCAGCUGAGCUUCCGGAUGAGAACACAGCUCUACAGACACCGGAUGAGAACACAGCAUUUUGAGACCCUCAUGAGAGAACCCAACUAAGCCGUGCCCACACUCCAACCCAUGGGAACAAUUGUGAGGUCAUAAAAACGUGCUGCUUGAAGCCACUGAAUUUGUGAUCCUUUGUUAUGCAGCCAUAGAAAAAUAAUACCCUUAUUAUUAGAAAAGUGUAGGUCACACCAGCAGACAUUCAUUCGACGGUAUUGCUGUUACCUUAAUUCCUUUACGCGUCCGUCCUGCAAGUAAGGGUUGUCACAGGGAAGUUUGGGUCUUGCAGAAAUGCUGGCGCUUUGACCAGCAAAAUCUGGAACCCCAGGGCUUCAUCUUGGGGUGUCCCAUUAUCAGCAGACCAGCUUUGGCCAGCUUUGAGAGGCACUGAGCGUCUUACCAUCUAAAUCUCAUCUCAGGGCAACUAAAAGUGUUUUUAAAAUUACGAAAUACGUGGGGCGCCUGGGUGGCGCAGUCGGUUAAGCGUCUGACUUCAGCCAGGUCACGAUCUCGCGGUCCGUGAGUUCAAGCCCCGCGUCAGGCUCUGGGCUGAUGGCUCAGAGCCUGGAGCCUGUUUCCGGUUCUGUGUCUCCCUCUCUCUCUGCCCCUCCCCCGUUCAUGCUCUGUCUCUCUCUGUCCCAAAAAUAAAUAAACGUUAAAAAAAA